UGCAGUCGAGCGGAUGAGUGGAGCUUGCUCCAUGAUUCAGCGGCGGACGGGUGAGUAAUGCCUAGGAAUCUGCCUGGUAGUGGGGGAUAACGUUUCGAAAGGAACGCUAAUACCGCAUACGUCCUACGGGAGAAAGUGGGGGAUCUUCGGACCUCACGCUAUCAGAUGAGCCUAGGUCGGAUUAGCUAGUUGGUGGGGUAAUGGCCCACCAAGGCGACGAUCCGUAACUGGUCUGAGAGGAUGAUCAGUCACACUGGAACUGAGACACGGUCCAGACUCCUACGGGAGGCAGCAGUGGGGAAUAUUGGACAAUGGGCGAAAGCCUGAUCCAGCCAUGCCGCGUGUGUGAAGAAGGUCUUCGGAUUGUAAAGCACUUUAAGUUGGGAGGAAGGGCAGUAAGUUAAUACCUUGCUGUUUUGACGUUACCAACAGAAUAAGCACCGGCUAACUUCGUGCCAG
rnacentral:rRNA from 1 species